UGGAUCCAGACUUUGAUUCUGGCUCAGGAUGAACGCUAGCUACAGGCUUAACACAUGCAAGUCGAGGGGAAACGACAUCGAAAGCUUGCUUUUGAUGGGCGUCGACCGGCGCACGGGUAAGUAACGCGUAUCCAACCUGCCCACCACUUGGGGAUAACCUUGCGAAAGUAAGACUAAUACCCAAUGAUAUCUCUAGAAGACAUCUGAAGGAGAUUAAAGAUUUAUCGGUGAUGGAUGGGGAUGCGUCUGAUUAGCUUGUUGGCGGGGUAACGGCCCACCAAGGCUACGAUCAGUAGGGGUUCUGAGAGGAAGGUCCCCCACAUUGGAACUGAGACACGGUCCAAACUCCUACGGGAGGCAGCAGUGAGGAAUAUUGGUCAAUGGGCGAGAGCCUGAACCAGCCAAGUAGCGUGCAGGAUGACGGCCCUAUGGGUUGUAAACUGCUUUUAUAAGGGAAUAAAGUGAGCCUCGUGAGGCUUUUUGCAUGUACCUUAUGAAUAAGGACCGGCUAAUUCCGUGCCAGCAGCCGCGGUAAUACGGAAGGUCCGGGCGUUAUCCGGAUUUAUUGGGUUUAAAGGGAGCGUAGGCCGGAGAUUAAGCGUGUUGUGAAAUGUAGAUGCUCAACAUCUGCACUGCAGCGCGAACUGGUUUCCUUGAGUACGCACAAAGUGGGCGGAAUUCGUGGUGUAGCGGUGAAAUGCUUAGAUAUCACGAAGAACUCCGAUUGCGAAGGCAGCUCACUGGAGCGCAACUGACGCUGAAGCUCGAAAGUGCGGGUAUCGAACAGGAUUAGAUACCCUGGUAGUCCGCACGGUAAACGAUGGAUGCCCGCUGUUGGUCUGAAUAGGUCAGCGGCCAAGCGAAAGCAUUAAGCAUCCCACCUGGGGAGUACGCCGGCAACGGUGCAACUCAAAGGAAUUGACGGA
rnacentral:rRNA from 1 species